AAUCUCGUACUUGGUCGUACUGAUAUCCGCAGCAGGUCUCCAAGGUGAAUAGCCUCUGGCCGAUAGAAUAAUGUAGGUAAGGGAAGUCGGCAAAACGGAUCCGUAACUUCGGAACAAGGAUUGGCUCUAAGGGCUGGGCCGAUCGGGCUGAGGUUUCAAGCGUGCAGUGUAUGCUUGGCUUAGUUGUGUUGAGGACUUGUUCACUUGCCACCGGUUGUUCGGCUGGUCGAGUGUAUUCGAGUCUGAAGCAGAGCUGGCCGACAGACCGGCACGUGCAGAACCUGAGCUGCGCGGCUGUCCGUUUUC
rnacentral:ncRNA from 1 species